rnacentral:rRNA from 1 species
GACGAACCGAGCGAACGUUGUUCGGAAUCACUGGGCUUAAAGGGCGCGUAGGCGGGCUGUCAAGUCUGGGGGUGAAAUCCCCGCGGCUCAACCGUGGAACUGCCUCAGAUACUGACGGCCUCGAGGGAGAUAGGGGCGAGCGGGAACUAAUGGUGGAGCGGUGAAAUGCGUUGAUAUCAUUAGGAACUCCGGUGGCGAAGGCGCUCGCUGGAUCUUUUCUGACGCUGAGGCGCGAAAGCUAGGGGAGCAAACGGG